AGAGUAACUUUUACAUAUUAAAGGGUUAUCUUGAUGUGAUAAAAUUUGUAAACUUUACCUACAUUA
rnacentral:tRNA from 1 species